rnacentral:rRNA from 1 species
UACGAAGGGGGCUAGCGUUGCUCGGAAUCACUGGGCGUAAAGCGCACGUAGGCGGACUCUUAAGUCGGUGGUGAAAUCCUGGAGCUCAACUCCAGAACUGCCUCCGAUACUGCGAGUCUCCGAGUCCGGGAGAGGUGAGUGGAACUGCGAGUGUAGAGGUGAAGUUCGUAGAUAUUCGCAAGAACACCAGUGGCGAAGGCGGCUCACUGGCCCGGUACUGACGCUGAGGUGCGAAAGCGUGGGGAGCAAACAGG